GGAUCGGCUACCAACCUGCCCCGUGGUAUGACUGCACUUUACUCUCUGGGCCAACUGCUGUCUGACCGCACACGCUGAAUAAAGCUGACAUCCUCCACGCUUUUCAGAGGAGGACGCUUCUGCAGACUGAACUCGGAUACUCACCAAAGAUCUAAGAGUUUACCUGGAGCAGGAGUCUCGUCAUGUCUAAGCUACUACUCAUCUCAUUCUUCCUGGUAGCACUUGUCAGUGUGGAGGCCCUCCGUAUCCCAAGAGAUGCUAAUUGGGCCUUUGACACGCUAUCAAUAUAUGACCAGACCAUGGAGAUGAUUAGCAGGGUAGUUGGUCGAAAGAACCUUCAAGCUGCAAUCGACACUGCAGCAGAAGUAGUGAAACGCGUGUUUGAUGGAUCAGAAAUAGUUGUGAGAGACGUCAUCAAACCUCUCUUUGAAUAACUUCUUCACUGAUGUGGAACCCACCACCAUUAAUCAUCAGUCUGUUACAAAGCUAUUGUGAAGGCACUAAACUGACUAAGAGCAAAAUGUUUUUUUCCCCCUUCACUUGUGUAUUAAAUAAACCGUUAUGAUGGACUGCCAUGUCAA